rnacentral:rRNA from 1 species
GGCCGUACCAUGCUGAAUAUACCGGUUCUCGUUAGGUCACCGAAGUCAAGCAUCAUUGGGCACGGUCAGUACUUGGGUGGGUGACCACCUGGGAACACCGCGUGCCGUU